GAUGAACGCUGGCAGCGUGCCUAAUACAUGCAAGUCGAGCGAACAGAUGAGGAGCUUGCUCCUCUGACGUUAGCGGCGGACGGGUGAGUAACACGUGGAUAACCUACCUAUAAGACUGGGAUAACUUCGGGAAACCGGAGCUAAUACCGGGUAAUAUAUUGAACCGCAUGGUUCAAUAGUGAAAGACGGUUUUGCUGUCACUUAUAGAUGGAUCCGCGCCGCAUUAGCUAGUUGGUAAGGUAACGGCUUACCAAGGCAACGAUGCGUAGCCGACCUGAGAGGGUGAUCGGCCACACUGGAACUGAGACACGGUCCAGACUCCUACGGGAGGCAGCAGUAGGGAAUCUUCCGCAAUGGGCGAAAGCUUGACGGAGCAACGCCGCGUGAGUGAUGAAGGUCUUCGGAUCGUAAAACUCUGUUAUUAGGGAAGAACAAAUGUGUAAGUAACUAUGCACGUCUUGACGGUACCUAAUCAGAAAGCCACGGCUAACUACGUG
rnacentral:rRNA from 1 species